GACGAACGCUGGCGGCGUGCUUAACACAUGCAAGUCGAACGGAAAGGCCCUGCUUUUGUGGGGUGCUCGAGUGGCGAACGGGUGAGUAACACGUGAGUAACCUGCCCUUGACUUUGGGAUAACUUCAGGAAACUGGGGCUAAUAACGGAUAGGAGCUCCUGCUGCAUGGUGGGGGUUGGAAAGUUUCGGCGGGUGGGGAUGGACUCGCGGCUUAUCAGCUUGUUGGUGGGGUAGUGGCUUACCAAGGCUUUGACGGGUAGCCGGCCUGAGAGGGUGACCGGCCACAUUGGGACUGAGAGACGGCCCAGACUCCUACGGGAGGCAGCAGUGGGGAAUAUUGCACAAUGGGCGGAAGCCUGAUGCAGCAACGCCGCGUGCGGGAUGACGGCCUUCGGGUUGUAAACCGCUUUCGCCUGUGACGAAGCGUGAGUGACGGUAAUGGGUAAAGAAGCACCGGCUAACUACGUG
rnacentral:rRNA from 1 species